rnacentral:rRNA from 1 species
UACGGAGGAUCCGAGCGUUAUCCGGAAUUAUUGGGUUUAAAGGGUGCGUAGGCGGCAUUUUAAGUCAGGGGUGAAAUACAGCGGCUCAACCGUUGCAGUGCCCUUGAAACUGAAGUGCUUGAAUGUGUUCGAAGGAGGCGGAACGGGACAAGUAGCGGUGAAAUGCAUAGAUAUGUCCCAGAACCCCGAUUGCGCAGGCAGCUUCCUAGGCCACGAUUGACGCUGAUGCACGAAAGCGUGGGUAUCGAACAGG